GACGAACGCUGGCGGCGUGCCUAAUACAUGCAAGUAGAACGCUGAGGGAGGAGCUUGCUCUUCUGGAUGAGUUGCGAACGGGUGAGUAACGCGUAGGUAACCUGCCUGGUAGCGGGGGAUAACUAUUGGAAACGAUAGCUAAUACCGCAUAAGAGUAGAUGUUGCAUGACAUUUACUUAAAAGGUGCAAUUGCAUCACUACCAGAUGGACCUGCGUUGUAUUAGCUAGUUGGUGGUGUAACGGCUUACCAAGGCGACGAUACAUAGCCGACCUGAGAGGGGGAUCGGCCACACUGGGACUGAGACACGGCCCAGGACUCUAAGGGAGGCAGCAGUAGGGAAUCUUCGGCAAUGGACGGAAGUCUGAACGGGCCAAGGCGGGGGAGGGAAGAAGGUUCUCGGAUCGUAAAGACCUGUUGAAAGAGAAGAACGAGUGUGAGAGUGGAAAGUUCACACUGUGACGGUAUCUUACCAGAAAGGGACGGCUAACUACGUG
rnacentral:rRNA from 1 species